GUUUGAUCCUGGCUCAGGACGAACGCUGGCGGCGGGCUUAACACAUGCAAGUCGAAGGAGAAGGUAGAAGCUUGCUUUUACUGGAGACUGGCGGACGGGUGAGUAACGCGUAGAUAACCUGCCUUUAGCUGGGGGAUAACACCGCGAAAGUGGUGCUAAUACCGCAUAAUGCAGCGGGGCCGCAUGGCCACAGUUGUUAAAGGUUUAGGCCGGCUAAAGAUGGGUCUGCGUGCUAUUAGUUAGUUGGUGAGGUAACGGCUCACCAAGGCGAUGAUAGCUAGGGGGUCUGAGAGGAUGAUCCCCCACACUGGGACUGAGACACGGCCCAGACUCCUACGGGAGGCAGCAGUAGGGAAUAUUGGGCAAUGGACGAAAGUCUGACCCAGCCAUGCCGCGUGCAGGAUGACGGCCCUAUGGGUUGUAAACUGCUUUUAUAUAGGAAGAAACCCUUCUACGUGUAGAAGGCUGACGGUACUAUACGAAUAAGGAUCGGCUAACUCCGUGCCAGCAGCCGCGGUAAUACGGAGGAUCCAAGCGUUGUCCGGAUUUAUUGGGUUUAAAGGGUGCGUAGGCGGACUAUUAAGUCAGAGGUGAAAGUU
rnacentral:rRNA from 1 species